rnacentral:snoRNA from 1 species
AACCUAUGGUGAGGGCAUAUUCUCAAGAGGUCCUUGUAUCUCUCCCAUACGUCGUAGAGUGUUUCUAAAUCCAUAUACAUAAGAAAAGAGAUAUUAUUACGUAAUUU